rnacentral:misc_RNA from 1 species
UUUUGAAUUAGAAAACUAUUUUCUAUUUUUGAUUUUUAAACACUUUCCUCAUAAUUUUUCCUUUUUUUUUUUAGAAAAUGAAAAUUAGAAAAUAGAAAACUGUUUUCCAAGCCUCUAAGUGUUGCAUUUGGAAUAAUUUGGUACAUAUUGAAAGGAUAUUAGAGAAUAACAAAGAUAGUUUCGAAGGUGGGGCUUUUUUAAUUUUUGGGAUGGUUACACAGACAACUUUGAGGUUGGAUGUAAAUUUAAAAUGAAUUUACUAGGAAAGUGUAGUUGAAAUCUUUGUAGGGGAGCAAAGACUAACUGAAAUUGAAGAUUUAAAUUUAAUGUGUAUGGAAAAUUGUCUCCCAUUGAUUUUUCAAACAAUAUGAUAUGUGAGAUGCAGGGACCAAUCUAUGAUUGUCAUUUUUCCCUUUUGGCCUCUCCAUUUUCAGCGUGAAAGGAUGUGAAUGAGAAAUAUUUAUGUGUAUUUUGUCUUUUAUAUCAAUGAUGAUGAUGAUGAUGAUAUCAUUAAGGUGGAGAAUAAUUUUACUUGGUAUAUUUAUCUAUUUGUCUACGACUGCAGGCCAAGUGAUUAAAGGGUGGGA